rnacentral:lncRNA from 1 species
GACCGGCCUGAUGAAUAUAGUGCUACUGCAUCUCCACGGCCAGGUUGGUAUAUGGAUGUGUACACAUGCCGACUCUACUGUAAGAAUAUACCUGUUCCUGAUCAGUGUUAUUGUUUUUCACCAAUGCCAUUCACUCCAGUGAGGGUUCCUUUGCCAGUACCUCCAGAGUUGCUUGAAUUAUCUAGAAGCAAGACCACAUCGCCUUUGAGACCAGUGCAGGAAACUGUGUUCUGUCAUUCCCUCCUCCCAGUGACCUCUGCACAGUCUACAGCCUCUACUCCUCCCUCAGGACCCCCCGCAGUUGCUGGCCAGUCUUUCUCUGGAUUCCCUGCAGCCACUACUGGGUACCCCUCAACUCAGUUGGAGGAGAAGCAUGCUGUUCCACCAAUGCCAAGCUAUGAGCAGGAUGUGAUAAGAUGGCACUGCUCUCAACAGCAGAGAAUCUGGAUGAAAACAGAAAUGGAAGCCUUGGGACUGUGGCCAGGUUCUAGACCGGUGAGACAUCCAAUGAACAUGAUCUCCUUGUGGCGUUACCCACCUCAGCCUGAGCUUAUUGAUGCUGUCUAUGAGCUGCCAUCACCGAAAUACUUUCAACUUCAUCCAUUCUUCAUUUGGAAACCAGAGCACACCAUUAUGGAAAGAGUCCGCAACAAUUACACUCUGCCAUGUCUGUACGGCUGUCUGAAUCCCCACGUUGUCUCAUCAGGAGUUGGACGACCCCGUGUCAUUAUUGGUACAAGCAGCCAGUACUACAUACUGGCCUCCCGGCUCAGCUGUAAAGGCUGUAAAAAGUACUGGUUUGCAGACAAACCCCAAUGGAUGGACAUGCUGCCGAGUCGGUUCUGCAACAUUUUGCCAGCUUUUCUGACACACAAGAAGGCCAUAUGUAAGACUGUGAUGGAUGAGUUGCGGCGCACAGCAAAGUCUCCCAAUGAUAUGGCCAAUCAGUUGAAUGAAGCUCUCCACCUCAAGUAUGAGCGUGCACACCUGGCUUACCUGUCCACUGUUAAGAAUGUGCUGGAUGGAGACGGUGGACUUUAUGGUCAGCAGACCAUCACAGAGGCACUAAGAGCAACAAAUACUACUGCUCCAUUUGGUGAGUAUUGUGAUGUGGUUGGCUGGUGCGGAGUAACAGUCUCACCCCACUAUUUGGUUGACUGCCUCAUUCAGGAGUACCAUAGGCAGGAGAGCAUACUCAAUCUGCUCCUCCAAGG